UACGUAGGGUGCGAGCGUUUGUCCGGAAUUACUGGGCGUAAAGAGCUCGUAGGUGGUUUGUCGCGUUGUCCGUGAAAACUCACAACUCAAUUGUGGGCGUGCGGGCGAUACGGGCAGACUGGAGUACUGCAGGGGAGACUGGAAUUCCUGGUGGUAGCGGUGGAAUGCGCAGAGUAUCAGGAGGAACACCGGUGGCGAAGGCGGGUCUCUGGGCCGAUACUGACGCUGAGGAGCGAAAGCGUGG
rnacentral:rRNA from 1 species